rnacentral:miRNA from 1 species
GUGGGGGUGCCGUAGUGUGUGUGUGUGUGUGUGUGUGUGUGUGUGUAUACGUGUACCUCAGUUCUCCCCCCCGCACGC